AUUGAACGCUGGCGGCAGGCCUAACACAUGCAAGUCGAGCGGAGCGGCGGACGGGUGAGUAAUGCCUAGGAAUCUGCCUGGCAGUGGGGGAUAACGUCCGGAAACGGGCGCUAAUACCGCAUACUAUCAGAUGAGCCUAGGUCGGAUUAGCUAGUUGGUGGGGUAAAGGCCUACCAAGGCGACGAACCGUAACUGGUCUGAGAGGAUUAUCAGUCACACUGGAACCAAGACACGGUCCAGUCUCCUAAGGGAGGCAGCAGUGGGGAUUCUUGGACAAUGGGCGAAAGCCUGAUGCAGCCAUGCCGCGUGUAUGAAGAAGGCCUUCGGGUUGAAAAGUACUUUCAGUCGGAAGGCGUUACCGACAGAAGAAGCACCGGCUAACUCCGUGACAGCGGCCGCGGUAAUUC
rnacentral:rRNA from 1 species